rnacentral:lncRNA from 1 species
GAAGUGCCACUGGGCUUGGUGCUCACAGAUACCUACUGCCUUAACUCUGCUGCAGGGAGCUCGGGGUGAUGGUCACAAACUGGCUUGUGAGAAGGGAUGGGCAACGUACAAACAAACCAAUUGCUGUUGAAAUGUGCUCUGCACAGAUGGUCAGCGAGGGAAAUAUUUCUUCCUGAUGCCUUCUGCCAAGAAGGAACUGCCUCAGUCAUAGCAUUUGAAAGCAAGAGGGACCUCCCAGGUGACCAUGGGAGAGGGGCUGUGUGAGAGAGCGCUGUUGUGGUCAGAGCCGGACACCGUGUGUAUCACACGCAUUGGUGAUCACAGGGAGAAUAAUUACUUCUGAUUAAUAGGCCAGUAAAGCAAUGAAAAGUGAAAAAUAUCAAGCACUUUUGU